UUAAAAAAAAAAACUGUACAUUUUAAUGCGUAUUUUUCAGAUAGUUUGUUUAUCAGGGAGGGGGGGGUCACCCACCCAGCCGGAACGUUCUAACCGUGGUCAGAUGUUGCCGAGGUGGACAUUUUACAGGGUGUCGUCAGGUGUGACGCAACACACGAACGUGGACCAGAUGUGGACCGGAUGUGGACUGGAUGUGGACUGGAUGUGGACCGGAUGUGGACCGGAUGUGGACCGGAUGUGGACUGGAUGUGGACCGGUUGUGGACCGGAUGUGGACUGGAUGGGCGCGAGCGUCGGACCACAGCAGAGUUGCCAUUCUCAACCACUCAGCAUCACUAUGUUGCAACAUCGUGCUGAAGGAGCCCAAUUUCCGAGGGAGGCUGGCGUGCCCCCCCCACCCCACACCUGCUUUGAUCUUCCAGCCAGGUUCUGCUGGGAGCAGAUGAAGGAACGCGACUCCUCAUCAGUAUCUGCUCCGGACAGGACGGACAUCCAUAAUGGAGCCUCACAGGCGGAGCCCGAGAUUUCUGCAGCCGCCUGGCAACAGACGGGAAAGGAGCCAGCAACAGCUCCGGCCAGAGUGUCCUGGGUCCCUGUCCCAGAGUCCAACUCAUGUCCACAGUCGGCUGACUGGUGACUCAGAAUGGCCCCCUGCUGUGUGUGUCCUCACCCAGUGGACGCACAAUUAAAUGCGUAAAUUGUGAAUUCCUCAUCGGAUUACUUGUUCCCUCACCUUCCUUCUAUGACCCCGGAAUCAGCUUCCAGCUCUCUUGAAGCUUUUAAAUGCUCUGAUUGCUGGAAACGCCAGUUCUCUGUUGUCAAUGAUGCGUUUAUGGGUCAGGAACUUUGAUCGCUGCUCUCCAGGAAGCUGGACAGGAAACUAAUCCUCUCUCAAGAGGACUGAAAAUAUAUCACAAAAAAAAAGUUCUAAUUUCAGCAGCUGCCAAGCCAAUUUAGCACAUUUUUAUAGUCCUUUUAUUUUUUUUAAAAAAAGCUCGAGAACAACAUCCUGUUUUGUCAUUCAGCUCGCC
rnacentral:lncRNA from 1 species